CUUCCGGAAAGGCCUGUGACUGAGAAAUGCAGGCAUGGCUACAAAAUAUUACUCAGAAGAAGAGCUGGGCUGGUGAAGAGAGGCCUGGCUGCAAGCCUGCAUGAAGAAUGAAGACCCUCAAGUUGGGAAAGUGGUCCAAUCAAUACUUCAAAUAAAGAAAGAAAUGGAAGGGGUGGAAUAUAAAUCAUGCAUUGACUUGAAUAAUGCUGAGCCUAUUUUCAUGGAACAAACAUCCCAGGGAAAGGUUUAAAGACAGCUACAAAUUGUGUGAUGCUAUUGUGGAGCUGGGAGAGCCAUACAUAUCGGAGCAACACCUUCUAAACAACUUGAUAUUAGCUUUCCUGUAAUACCCUUACAGCUGCUCGAAGUUAAAAAAAAAAAUUAUCCCCCAGCUGAAUAGGCUUCAUGAUGGAAUGCUGACAGGGAGAUUUAAUAUUAUUUGACUACACCACGAAGCAAGCAACUAUAGCCCUUGUAAAAUGGCUAGCUGACUGGCUGCCAUUAUUAUCCAAGCAAUCUAAGUAGUUAUGUUUCACACUACAGGGGUGUUGAGCAUAAUAGCGCUGUCUAGACUCCAUGCCUACAAAAAAGAGAGAUUGCCUUUCCUUCUGUUCUUGCUGGUCAAGCCAGGUUAAUAAUGAUUGACUUAAUGAGAGUCAUCUGACUUCUAACCUCCGGAGAGGAGAGACUUAUUUGCCAGGAUGAACAAUAUUAUAUUCUUUCAACAGAAUGGACUGAUUUUAUUUGCUUGAGAUGUUUUUAUCUUUCUCAACUGUUAUAGGGCCCAGAAUAAAUUGGCAACUAUGUAUGCUUGCUAAUAUGAUUAUAAAGAAGACAGGUUGUAUUGCUUUUAUCAUAGCUCAAUGUUCUCUUAAUUGCAGGUACUGAACCUUUCUUAUUCUCCUUCUCUUCUAAUCACUAACGAAUAUCCCAGUCUUUUCAUGGACAGGUGGUUUUGUUUUGUAUCACACUUCAGCAAUAUGCUGAGGAAAAGAAUGAAGAGUCUCUUUUGGAAAUGUUGGAGUGGUGCUUUGCUUUUCUUUAACUUGCCCAAAUACAAUUGCAGGCCUGUAUUAUUUGUGACUAAAACUACUAUGAAUAAAAAGCUCCAGUAGCUCUGCAAAUUAUAUUAUUGUAUUAUUGUAUAAUUCAAAUCAUUUAACAGAGAAGAUUUUUCAUCACGUACAGAUAUAAUAGUAAUCUCAGCUUGUCCAACACACAGCUGGUCUAUUCUGGAAAUGUGCAUUUGUAAAAUUUGAUACACAACCUCAAUAAUUUGUUUUAUUUAUUAAAUUUGUCUGACAUCUAUCUCUCCACCAAAUGACUCUAAUAAUUAUUCAAAGCUAUGAGAGACUCAAACAACUUAUGACUCCAUCUUCAAAGUUACAACUUCUGUAUUCAUGUGAUCACGUUUUGCGCCUUUUGCCAUUUUCUACCAAAAACAAUCCAUUGGAUAAACUAGAUUAGGACUUAGUCCCAUGUGUAACUCACUUAGCAGCCAAAAAUCAAGUCUGAUCAUGUGGUGACUUGAAUUAUGAUUGCAAUGACUUAUUAUCAAAAUUUCAGGCUCAGUUGCAAUCAUAAGUCUACCUACAACAGGGGUGUCAAACUGCCGGCCCACGGGCUGGUUUCAUCAUACUGGAGCUGCAUCCACCCCAUUGCCGGCAAUGGCGAAAAAGCUGAUAUGUUGUGCAACGUCAUGUGACGUCGCAAGUUUGACAUGUCUGACCUACAAGGUUUCAGAAGGCACAUGCUCCUAAAUAAUGAACACACAUGGAUAAACUCUCAAAGAGAAUCCAAUAUAGGUUUGGUAAUAUGCUAACAAUGGGGGCAUGCUAUGCUAUAGGUGGUUGGCUGACUGAGAGAUAAAAGCCUUUGUGACCCAAGCAAUUAACCUUAUAUUAACAUUUUGACAAAGGUCAUCUAUUCCCAAUUUGCCUUUAGUUUUCCAUUUUAUGAGAAGAUAGAGCAGCUGUCAACUCUACAGAUGAGCAUGGCUGCAGCCAUUUUUUCUUCUCAUUCUAGGUUGCCACAUAGAACAGAUGAAGGGGGGUUGCCCAGGUGCUUCGUUAGUCAAAAUAAUCUUUUGUCCCAUGGGAACCAAGGUCAUCAGCUGCUCCGGAGACUAGGGAGCAUUGCAUAAAAAGCCCGCCAAAUAAUCAUAUUGGGGAACAUAGUUGCUUGCAUAGUUUUAUGGG